rnacentral:rRNA from 1 species
UACGUAGGGGGCUAGCGUUGUCCGGAAUCAUUGGGCGUAAAGAGCGCGUAGGCGGCCCGGUAAGUCCGCUGUAAAAGUCACAGGCUCAACCUGUGAAUGUCAGUGGAUACUGCCGGGCUAGAGUCCGGAAGAGGCGAGUGGAAUUCCUGGUGUAGCGGUGGAAUGCGCAGAUAUCAGGAAGAACACCCGUGGCGAAGGCGGUUCUCUGGGACGGUACUGACGCUGAGACGCGAAAGCGUGGGGAGCGAACAGG